GCUGGGAUGGCUCAGCUGGUACAGCACGGGACUCUUAAUCUCAAGGUCACGGGUUCUAAACCCCCGUUGGGCA